rnacentral:lncRNA from 1 species
AUGAACAUAUACCACAUUUUAGACCAUUAAAGCAUAGGCAUUAAUACCGAAUUCAAACCAAAAGAGAUAAGCCAUUUUAGCAUGGCUUUUAGAUAUAUAUAUACACAUUGGUUCCAAAAUCAAUAUUUUAACUAUACUAUACAUGCCAUAUAUUUGAGAACGAUUUAGCAAAAUACCAAAAGAAAAUAUCGAUAGUGUGACGAGCUUAGCUGACGAUCCCCGAACACGUAGCGAUCACCAAAAUCUAUACAUCAAAACAAUUAUCCAACACAUUGUAAGCUAAUUUAGCUUAGUAAGUUAUAAGCAAAUAUACUCUACUAUUUAAACCGAUAUCUCAAAUAAUAUUCAACCAAUUCAUACUACUAAAUCAUCUUACCUUUAGCCUACCAUAUCAUAAAAUAAUUAUUCACUUAUUACUAUGAUUUAACUAAAAUCAAUAUAAUUACACGACCUUAAACAUUUCUUCAAAUUUAACCACAAGACCAAAUACAUUAUGCAUUUCCUCAUCAUGUAUUAUAAAGAAUCAUAUAUAUAUAUAUAUGAUUCCAAAUAUAAUCACCACAUAGGUUUAAUUCCUACAAAGCUUAACCUUAAUAUACAACCAUAAUGGUUAUUACUCAAGAAUUCCAAGUAUUUACUCAUUUUAAUAAUCAUGAUUUCUCAAUAAGACAAUUACUCAAUACUAAUAGUUAUUCGAAAAUAUUUAAUAAGUUCGCACACUUAGUGCUAAAUAAUCAAACUCACACACUUAGUGCUUUACCAUUAAACUCGCACACUUAGUGCUUUACAAUUAAACUCCCACACUUAGUGCUUUACAAUUAAACUUGCACACUUAGUGCUUCACAAUUAAAUUCGCACACUUAGUUUCGAAAGUUAACAACUCAGUACAUCUUGUUUCAAUAAUUUUAUCACUACAUGUAUAUAUAUACCAUUCAAUUUAGCAUAAUUACUCAGAUACAAAGCUGAUUUUAAAACGAUACAAUUAUAUAUGUGCUUAAUAACUUACCUCGGAUGUCGUUGCCUAAUAGAUCGGCUA